UGAAUACGAGACGCUAAGGCGUCGAAGUAGUGUAUGUCAUACUUCCAAGAAAAGCUUGCACUGUCAUAGAUAAAAAACGCCUGUACCAUAACCGACACAGGUGGGUAGGUAGAGUAUACUAAGGGGCGCGAGAUAACUCUCUCUAAGGAACUCGGCAAAAUAACUCCGUAACUUCGGGAGAAGGAGUGCCUUAUUCGUAAGGUUGCAAUAACAAGAUCCAAGCAACUGUUUAUCAAAAACACAGGUCUCCGCUAAGUCGUAAGACGAUGUAUGGGGGCUGACGCCUGCCCAGUGCCAGAAGGUUAAAGAAGUUGGUUAGCAAUUGCGAAGCUGAUAACUGAAGCCCUGGUGAACGGCGGCCGUAACAAUAACGGUCCUAAGGUAGCGAAAUUCCUUGUCGGGUAAGUUCCGACCCGCACGAAAGGCGUAAUGAUUUGGAUACUGUCUCGGAGAGGGGCUCGGUGAAAUAGACUUGUCUGUGAAGAUGCGGACUACCUGCACCAGGACAGAAAGACCCUAUGAAGCUUUACUGUAACUUGAAAUUGAAAUUGGACUUUAUUCGCGCAGUAUAGGUGGGAGGCGUUGAUUAUAAUCUUGUGGGAUUAUUGGAGCCAUCAGUGAGAUACCACUCUUGUAAUGUUAGAUUUCUAACUUUGAAUCAUUAUCUGGUCAAAGAACAGUUUCAGGCGGGCAGUUUGACUGGGGCGGUCGCCUCCUAAACGGUAACGGAGGCGUACAAAGGUUUCCUCUGAACGGUUAGAAAUCGUAUCUAGAGUGUAAAGGCAUAAGGAAGCUUGACUGUGAGACCUACAAGUCGAGCAGGGACGAAAGUCGGUCUUAGUGAUCUGACGGUACUGAGUGGAAAGGCCGUCACUCAACGGAUAAAAGUUACUCUAGGAUAACAGGCUGAUCUCCCCCAAGAGUUCACAUCGACGGGGAGGUUUGGCACCUCGAUGUCGGCUCAUCGCAUCCUGGGGCGGUAGUACGUCCCAAGGGUUGGGCUGUUCGCCCAUGAAAGCGGUACGCGAGCUGGGUUCAGAACGUCGUGAGACAGUUCGGUCCAUAUCCGGUGUAGGCGUUAGAAUAUUGAGAGGAGCCUUCUUUAGUACGAGAGGACCGAGAAGGACAUACCUCUGGUGUACCAGUUAUCGUGCCAACGGUAAACGCUGGGUAGCUAUGUAUGGAGUGGAUAACCGCUGAAAGCAUCUAAGUGGGAAGCCCACCUCAAGAUGAGUAUUCUCAUC
rnacentral:rRNA from 1 species